rnacentral:ncRNA from 1 species
AAGAAAAAAAUAGCGCAUGACCUGUUCUGGGGUGGGGCAAGGAACAGGUGACGAGGAAGAGGGUUCCCUGCCGCGGGGCAGGGCUAACCGGCAAUCGCCGGGAAAAUCGAAAGAUCAGCGGAAGCCCUCCGGAUUUUGUCCGAACUUUCCCUCCAUCCAAAACCAAAAAACGAGUGGAUUUCGAUCC